rnacentral:rRNA from 1 species
GCGAAGGCGGGGCCAGCGGCGGGGGUAAGACGGGGGGUGGGGGCGUUGUCCGGAAGCACUGGGCGUAAAGGGCGCGUAGGCGGCGCGGCGAGUCGUCGGUGAAAGCGCAGGGCUCAACUCUGAGUCGGCCGGUGAUACUCUCGCGCUCGAGCUCACUAGAGGCAGAUGGAAUUCCGGGUGUAGCGGUGGAAUGCGUAGAGAUCCGGAAGAACACCGGUGGCGAAGGCGGUCUGCUGGGGUGAGGCUGACGCUGAUGCGCGACAGCGUGGGGAGCAAACAGGAUUAGAUACCCGAGUAGUC